UACGGAGGGUGCAAGCGUUGUCCGGAUUUAUUGGGUUUAAAGGGUGCGUAGGCGGCUAAUUAAGUCAGCGGUGAAAUUCCACAGCUCAACUGUGGAACUGCCAUUGAUACUGGUUGGCUUGAGUACAGAUGAGGUAGGCGGAAUUGACAGUGUAGCGGUGAAAUGCUUAGAUAUUGUCAAGAACACCUAUUACGAAGGCAGCUUACUAAACUGUAACUGACGCUGAGGCACGAAAGCGUGGGGAUCAAACAGG
rnacentral:rRNA from 1 species